rnacentral:rRNA from 1 species
GGGGAAUCUUCCGCAAUGGGCGAAAGCCUGACGGAGCAAUACCGCGUGAGGGAGGAAGGCUCUUGGGUCGUAAACCUCUUUUCUCAGGGAAGAACACAAUGACGGUACCUGAGGAAUAAGCAUCGGCUAACUCCGUGCCAGCAGCCGCGGUAAUACGGAGGAUGCAAGCGUUAUCCGGAAUGAUUGGGCGUAAAGCGUCCGCAGGUGGCUAUGUAAGUCUGCUGUUAAAGAAUCUAGCUUAACUAGAUACAAGCAGUGGAAACUACAAGGCUAGAGUACGUUCGGGGCAGAGGGAAUUCCUGGUGUAGCGGUGAAAUGCGUAGAGAUCAGGAAGAACACCGGUGGCGAAGGCGCUCUGCUAGGCCGUAACUGACACUGAGGGACGAAAGCUAGGGGAGCGAAAGGGAUUAGAUACCCCUG